rnacentral:misc_RNA from 1 species
GCUUUCUGUAUGGACUGGGGGAGUGUAUACAAGAAUACAGCUGAACGCUUGACUCUUUGUGAAGCCAAAAUGAAAAAUGGAAGGGAAAAACCUGAACUUCAUUUCUGUGACUGUAUCCCCUGUGACUGUAUCCCGAAAACAAAAAGAAGGGAGUGCUCUCAUAAAAUACAGGUUGAUGUCAGAUAGUCUCUCCCCCAAAAUAUCAAUUCUUUAGUGAUUGCAGAACAAGCUGAUGAACAAGCUGA